rnacentral:sRNA from 12 species
AGACUUGGUCGUAGAGCCACGACCAACAUGGGUGCAUCAACCCUUAAACUAAAGAAAGCUCACUGAGA